rnacentral:rRNA from 1 species
AUGUGCUCAGGCGGAGGAGGUGAGUCAGUGUUGGGGAUUGCACGGGUGGGUGACCCUCCCAUGGUCACCCCGCUUGUCGAUCCGGCGGCCUCAACCACGACGCAUGCCUCGUCGGCGCCCGUCCCCGACGUCCCCAGCUCCACCACCAAGGCCCAGGAGAUCCCCACGGUCGACCAUGAUUCAGCCCCGGUGUGCAUCGCGAUGGUGCCUGUCACCUGUUCGACGGAGUGCUCGACCCAGGUCAACACCAUCGACAUCGUCGACGAGGUCCAUGACGCCACCACCGCUAUCCACCUCGAGCCCACGGUCGACCGCAUCAACCAAGCAGCCGAGCAACUCACUCCAGUGCAGGCAACGGCCUCUAAUGCUAAGGUCGUUUCUCCCGUGAUGACCACCACCGACGUCGACCCCAAGGCCGGCGUGCAGGAGCUCGAUGCCCUCUCUGUCAACACCUCCACGCAAGUGAUGAGCAAGCCAGAUCACGGCGUCGUCCUCAUCAUCCUCAGCGAGUUCUCUGCACCGAUGCUGACCAUGUGUUUGACAGAUUACAUCGUCCAUGGCGACGAUCCGGUGCAGCCAACUGCACACACAGAGCAGCAACCAUGGCCACCACCUCUAGGAGUGAGCACCAAACACAUCGGGCGCCUGUUUAGGCCUAGGCCGUGGCCGUCUUUCAAGUCUCAUUCAGAUGCAAGCUGUCAGGAGGAGCCAUGUUCAGGUAUACGUUGUCAGCCACAUGAAGUAUUAUGGUUUAGUUCUGGACCCGUUCUAAGGUUAUUCAGAGAUGUGGUUUUCCCUCAAGUUUCUGGUUGUGAGGUGAUUUCCAUGGAAGUGUAUUUUAGUUGUCUAUCGGGUGCACAACUGCCGUCUUGGCGUCCACUGGAUCGUGCAACAUCCGAUGCUAAACAGUCCAACCCAGCAGGUCGCAGCCAAGCAGUGGUACAUGAAUCAUCUUGCCUUCAAACUAGUCGUACACAUGUAGGUUAUCUUACCUGUUUGGGGCUAGCAACAUUACAUAUGGAGCCGGUGAACUAUAAAGACUUGCAGUUCUAUCCAUGUUGCAGAGUGCAAUCACAGGAAAUUGCUGAAUGGUGUACCCAUCUUUAUGCUUCCACUGAAUUUUAUUUGGACAAGUUUGCUUGCUGUUGCCCCAUAGUGCCGAGAGAUAUUCCUGCCGUGAGUCAGCCGAUCAUGCAAAUUAUUGGCGGUCUGUACCUGAGUGUUGUGGAAGGGAGGUCUAUUAUCUUUCAGGUGCAUACUUCUAAUGAACUUUGUGCUCAAGAUGCACAUUUGUUGUUCAGGAUCAGUCAAAAGAAUGUACACCUGAAGCUAUCAAGACCAUCUUGUUCUUGCAAUUUCCGAAUAAAGAAACAGGGAACAAUUCAGUUUAUGCUUGUGUCAGUGCACUGA